UCUGUGAAACUGUGGGGCAGCCUGGAAAGCUGGUCUGACUCUGCAAUGGGAGUUUCCUGCACUGCUGGAGAUGCCUCUAGGAAUUGGAGAAGGAUUGUUUGCUUUGGAGUUUGGCUUCUGUGGCUGACAGGCGACAAGGGGUGGCAGCAGACACUCCAGGAGUGGUUUACCUUUAUUGGGUGUGGCAGCAGAUUCCUUGGCAUUGGCAACAGGCUAGAUUAAAUGAAUGAACUUAAGCUUGGUCCAGAUAAGACAAUUAUCUUCAUGAUGAGUGGUUCAAUCCACCUAGGGAUGUUGAGUCCAGCUUAAAGUCUUCUCCAGUGUGUGGCUUUACUUCAGGAUUUUAGCAGGACAGGGUGAAGACAAAAGAGAACUUGCCAAUUUCACUUUUCUUUUUGACAAAAUGAAACUGACAGUGGAAAUGAAGGUUCUCCUUGGGAUGGAAAAUGAAAUGCAAUGCCCUGCCUUCUCAAGCAUUAAACAUUAUGUCUAGAUUUUGUUUUUGUUGCAUAGCUGUAGAGGUCUAAGAGGAUGUCCAGAAGUGAAAGUACCUCCCCUGCAGCUAAGUACUGUGCCUCCAUUUGUUGUUCUUUCCCCACUCCUAAAUCUAUAACCCAUAGUUACUGGAUAGAGCUCUAUUGUUUGCGAGAUGAUCAUGCAAAGGAAAUAAUAUGGUUGGGGUGCAUCUUGUAAAUAAGCCCUAAGGCAUCAGCUCUCUAUUUUAGCACUUUAGCCAGUUUUUGAAAACCAAGUAAGAGCAUUUGGAAUGCCAGUUAACACAUUACACAAAUAGCUUUCAGCUAAAUCCCGGGACUCUCCUCUGUGCCAUUGGUAGCUGCUGGAAUUCCCUUCCCAGACCAGCUGACGGACCUUCCAAAUUUUCCUGCAUAACACAGAGAUAGGUC